GCAAGUCGAGCGGAAACGACACUAACAAUCUUUCGGGUGCGUUAAUGGGCGUCGAGCGGCGGACGGGUGAAUAAUGCCUAGGAAAUUGCCUUGAUGUGGGGGAUAACCAUUGGAAACGAUGGCUAAUACCGCAUAAUGCCUACGGGCCAAAGAGGGGGAUCUUCGGACCUCUCGCGUCAAGAUAUGUCUAGGUGGGAUUAGCUAGUUGGUGAGGUAAUGGCUCACCAAGGCAACGAUCCCUAGCUGGUCUGAGAGGAUGAUC
rnacentral:rRNA from 1 species